UUCUGCCUCUCUUUUUGGCCCUGGCAUUGCUGGCCCCAACCACAUUCCUGAUUGCCCGGGAAGAACAGCCUUUGAAAUUCAACAUCUGCUUCUGGGUAGUUGGUUGAACAAGCCCACCUGACCAAGAGAGGGAAGCACGCUAACUGUUUUCAGUUUGGACACUCUUGGGGGCUUUUUAGUAAUUGCAUGUGUUUCUGAGCAAGUGAGUGUCUUUUGUGGGUACCAGACAACAGGAUUGCUCCUCUCAACUAGGGACAGUCUGAAGAAUUUUGGUGUGCAAAUUCAUCAAGCUCACCCCAUGGAAAGAGGAAGCUCCGCUGUUUCAGUUUGGACACUCUUGGGGUUUGUUGGUUGCUGCAGCACUUGGAUUGUAUUUUGGUGAUUGUUUGUGUAUGUCAAUAUAGCCAUGGGAAGUAAGAAUUUGAUAAGCUGAUAAUCUUAUGUAAUACUGUUUGGCCUCAUAUCUUUGAAUCUGGAUAAGUUUGGCCUCUCCAUGUGCCUCGUUUUGCUGCUGAAUGGCAAAGCAGGGUGGAGUUUUGUGUAUUCAGGCUUUUAUGCUGUUGUUCAAAGCAAGGUCAGGCUUGAUUAGUACAUGAUGUUCUUCUGUGGUUUUUUCUGGCUCCAGUCAUCCUUGGAGUGUGGAGAGAUUUAGCCUUUAAAAAUCAAAAUGCCACAGAAACUGCUAUACCCAAAACUUUGGUUCACAACCUUCAUUGGAUUGCCUAUCAGGUCAAAAGAAGUUUAGCCAUGUGAACGUGUUCAUAAGCCUGUGAGUUUGUAUUGGUAUCUCAUGGCUAGAGUUCCAAGGUAAAAGUUAUUGGAUCUUUGUUUGCAUGUAUGUAUAUAUGUUUAGAUGUGUUUACAUGUAUGU
rnacentral:lncRNA from 10 species